CAGUGGGGAAUAUUGGACAAUGGGCGAAAGCCUGAUCCAGCCAUGCCGCGUGAGUGAUGAAGGCCUUAGGGUUGUAAAGCUCUUUUGUCCGGGAAGAUAAUGACUGUACCGGAAGAAUAAGCCCCGGCUAACUUCGUGCCAGCAGCCGCGGUAAUACGAAGGGGGCUAGCGUUGCUCGGAAUCACUGGGCGUAAAGGGCGCGUAGGCGGACUUUUAAGUCGGAGGUGAAAGCCCAGGGCUCAACCCUGGAAUUGCCUUCGAUACUGGGAGUCUUGAGUUCGGAAGAGGUUGGUGGAACUGCGAGUGUAGAGGUGAAAUUCGUAGAUAUUCGCAAGAACACCGGUGGCGAAGGCGGCCAACUGGUCCGAAACUGACGCUGAGGCGCGAAAGCGUGGGGAGCAAACAGGAUUAGAUACCCUGGUAGUCCACGCCGUAAACG
rnacentral:rRNA from 1 species